CAGGAUGAACGCUGGCGGCGUGCCUAAUACAUGCAAGUCGAACGAGGUAGCAAUACCGAGUGGCGAACGGGUGAGUAACACGUAGGUAACCUGCCCUUAAGCUUGGGAUACCCAGAGGAAACUUUGGCUAAUACCGGAUAACAACAGAGAAGGCAUCUUCUUUGCUUGAAAGGCCCCUUCAAGGGUCACUUAAGGAUGGACCUGCGGCGCAUUAGCUAGUUGGUGAGAUAACAGCCCACCAAGGCGAGGAUGCGUAGCCGAACUGAGAGGUUGAUCGGCCACAUUGGAACUGAGACACGGUCCAAACUCCUACGGGAGGCAGCAGUAAGGAGUUUUCGGCAAUGGGGGAAACCCUGACCGAGCAACGCCGCGUGAGCGAUGACGGCCCUAUGGGUUGUAAAAAGCUCUGUUGUAAGCCAUGAAUGAUAGCUUGAGGAAAUGCGAGCUAUUUGACGACAGCUUACCAGAAAGCCACGGCUAACUACGUGCCAGCCGCUGC
rnacentral:rRNA from 1 species